ACUGCCAUCACUGGGGAGGCGGUUGACAUUCCCCGCUCUUUGAACGCUUCUUAAAGAAAGAGGACAUUUCAUUUGAAUGGGCAACUUCUGAAGGGCUCAUCAUUCAUACAUGUAUCAAUGGAGAGGACCAUCUGGAAAAUCGGGACCCCCAGCUUCAUAUCGGGACUGGCACAUGGCAACUUUUCCCAGAGGCUGUCUGAUGUGUCAGUCAGUGAUGUGCUGGAGUUUGUACGUCGUUACGGCAGAGCCGAGGGGCACAGCUGACGUCUGUCUGAGAACUGUCUUCAGAUCGCAGGAUGGAACAGAACACGUGAACUUAAGUCACAUUAUUAAGAAGGAUAGACAGGAUAGAAAAGGAGGCACUUCAUUCUUCGUUCCUUUAACAUGAAUAGUGACAUCCAUCCCAUAUUCAAGUGUUUGAUGGCCAGAGUGGUUUGAGGGGCUGGUAACAUCACUUCCAGAGAUGCCCACCGAAUCAACAGACUAAUUAAAAGGGCAGACUUGGUUAUAGGAUGCACUUUGGACCCCCUGGAGGUCGUAGUGAAGAAGAGGAUGAAAGCAAAUCUGAGUGUCAUUAUGAACAAUGCUACACAUCCUCUCUGUGACACACACACAGAGAGGACUUUCAGGCAGUGAAUCAUUCAGCAGAAGUUUGUCAAACGCGACUGUUAUACCAACAUUAACAUAGGGAAGAUGAGAGAAGGCAUUGCAGGACAGCGCCAACCCCUGUUUUGGCAGGUAAUUACCAUCACUAGAGUCCUUAUAUAUUAUGCGCAUGCCCAUGACAUUAUCUAUUAUAUAGUGCCUUUCACAUGGAGUUACAGGGUGUUGGAUAGAUAACCUUGUUCUUGGAAUGAAGAAAGACCUGAUUUGAAAAAAGGAACUGUGAUAUUUUACAUAUGUGUUUGCAUAAUUCAUUAAAAGUAAAGUUGAAGGUUGAAGAACUGAAGUACCAUGUCUAUGACCUUCUGUUCUUUUCAGUGUGUGAAGAACUGGGCUCAGUCAGCUCUUCACCAUCCCCAGAAACAUGAUGUGACACAAUUUUAAAAUAUGAAUCUUAUGAUUAAAGAAAGUCUCUGAUAGUCCAUCUUGUAGGGUGGAUGAGUGAUGAUGUGAAAGUGUGACUGGGCUCGCCGACAGACUCUGUUUAGCUCAGUGCAUAAUGAGCUGGCGCGUGUUGGUUUAUGAUAUUUUUUUUUUAAUUGCUCUGUUCUAAGGUUAUAUAUAUGGUUAUUGCACUUGAAUGUCUGGGCAUGUACUGAAAUGCACCACUAGAGGGCAGCGAGUGCAGACAGAAUAUGCAAAGUUACAUUUGUCCGCUGCAGUGCCAAGAUCAGCCGGACAGAUUGAGGGUUUUUUUUUUUUGUUUAAAUAAUAUUUUUACUUUUUUUAAGUGUCUGUGAAGUUUUAACUUGUCCUUGGGGUCAAAUCAAAUGUCUGUCUGUCUAACUGAAGUUCCACUUUUGAGUACUGAAAAGAGAAGCAGAAUAGCUUAGGGUUAGUAACAAAUCAUAACUAUCAUAUUACUUAUGUUAAAUCAUAACUAUCAUAUUAUGUUUUAGGUGCUGAUGACUAACACCAGAGAUGCAGUCUGUUCAGUUAUUCAGCGGCUCUAGUCAGGGUGUGCUGAACUGAAGAAGUGAGUGUUCAGUUGGCAGUUGAAAGCUGAGACUGAAAGGACGCCUCUUCUAGUAGCAGGCAGACCAGUCCACAGUUUAGGGCCCUGUAACUAAA